GGGUAGCGGAGAAAUUCCAAUCGAACCUGGAGAUAGCUGGUUCUCUCCGAAAUAGCUUUAGGGCUAGCCUCAAGUGAUGAUUAUUGGAGGUAGAGCACUGUUUGGACGAGGGGCCCCUCUCGGGUUACCGAAUUCAGACAAACUCCGAAUGCCAAUUAAUUUAACUUGGGAGUCAGAACAUGGGUGAUAAGGUCCGUGUUCGAAAGGGAAACAGCCCAGACCACCAGCUAAGGUCCCAAAAUAUAUGUUAAGUGGAAAAGGAUGUGGCGUUGCCCAGACAACUAGGAUGUUGGCUUAGAAGCAGCCAUCAUUUAAAGAGUGCGUAAUAGCUCACUAGUCGAGUGACACUGCGCCGAAAAUGUACCGGGGCUAAACAUAUUACCGAAGCUGUGGAUUGUCCUUUGGACAAUGGUAGGAGAGCGUUCUAAGGGCGUUGAAGCAUGAUCGUAAGGACAUGUGGAGCGCUUAGAAGUGAGAAUGCCGGUGUGAGUAGCGAAAGACGGGUGAGAAUCCCGUCCACCGAUUGACUAAGGUUUCCAGAGGAAGGCUCGUCCGCUCUGGGUUAGUCGGGUCCUAAGCUGAGGCCGACAGGCGUAGGCGAUGGAUAACAGGUUGAUAUUCCUGUACCACCUAUA
rnacentral:rRNA from 1 species